rnacentral:lncRNA from 1 species
ACCCUUGGCUGAGUGUCGCUGAGCUACACCUGGCCAAUAUCUCCGUCAUUCUUCCUGCUAACCACUGACCUUAACCUAAUCAUUCAAUCGUAUUUAUUGGGCGCUCACUAUGUGCAGAGCACUGUACUAAGCGCUUGGAAUGUGCAGUUCGGGAAUAGAGACAAUCCCUGCCCAAGAACGGGCUCGGUCUAAACGCAGUUUAAUCACGCAGGUCUACACGUGGGCUCCCGGCCGCUUUAACACGUUGGCUCCCUGGGGGCAGGACUCGACUUUGUAUGUUCUGUACAGCACCUAGGAGACAAGGACUGCUAGCUCCCCUCACCACAACCGAGCCACGAGGUUCCGCACUUUGGGUCUGGAGUGUCCGGGGAACACAGUCACCAGUCCAGGUUUAAAGAAUCCAAUCCCCGUAAUAGGCUCCUUUGAAACAUCGAGAUUGACGCCCCUCCACCCCAGCUUCAGCGACAUCGGUGACUACAGUCGGAGCACACACAGUUCCCGGAUGAGCAAACAUCGGAUUCGGUCAGUCGUUCAACAGACUGAGCCUCCCAGCCGUAUAGGACAGAAAGAACUCCCGGAGAAGAUGGCAGCCCUGCUGACCUCCCGGUCAUCCUCAAGCCCCCAGCUGGAGAGAGUGGAGGUCAAGUCGGAGCGAGAGCCCCAAAAUGAGUUGGAGCGGAGCCCAGAGCCAGGAUCAGAGGAACAGCUGAGCCCCGACCUGGAGAUAGAAUCCGCGGCGGACCAGGAGAGGGCUUUGCCCGUUCCAUGGGUUCCAGCCAUUCCCAAGGAAGAAAGCCUUGAGGAUGAGGUGACAACUGAGUAUCUUCUACCCAAGCCCCAGGUAAGCUGCUGAUCUGCCUUCCUGAGAUGAAGCUCAAAACUUCCCCCUCCCGACUCGAUUCUACUCGCAUCACCCCCACCAUCCUCCCCACCAAGAAGAGGCGAGUUAAGAUUGCAGCACCAGGGACAGAAGUUAGCCCAAAGGAACUGCUUCCUGUUUGUCAGCAUUACUGUCACUGAAUUCAGUGCUAUCUUGCCUGAGGUAGGGAAGGGAGGAGAGCGGGAUUUUCUGCAGGGCCUAACCAGGUUUAGGAGUCCACGAUCGCGAACUCGGGAUUUACAUGGAGUUUUCCUCAAGUCCCUCUUCCCACCAAGUCUGGCCUCAUCCUAGGGAUUUCUGGGAUUCUCCAUAGCUUUCUCCUUUGCCUCUCCACCUUCCUCUAGGACUGGGCUUAGGAACCUGGGGCAUAGCCUGGCUGGUAAGAUGCCCACUGAGCCACUAGUGGCUGGUUCCUGCAGUGAAAUUCCACAACUGACCUCCCCUCUUCCCCAGGGUCCUCCCCAGUAACGGGAAUUGGACUGAGAGUGCAACAGAAGGGAAUGAGGGUUAUCCCUCUUCCCCAGGUCCUCUCUCAGCAUUUCCA